rnacentral:rRNA from 1 species
GACGAACGCUGGCGGCGUGCUUAACACAUGCAAGUCGAACGGAAAGGCCCUGCUUUUGUGGGGUGCUCGAGUGGCGAACGGGUGAGUAACACGUGAGUAACCUGCCCUUGACUUUGGGAUAACUUCAGGAAACUGGGGCUAAUACCGGAUAGGAGCUCCUGCUGCAUGGUGGGGGUUGGAAAGUUUCGGCGGUUGGGGAUGGACUCGCGGCUUAUCAGCUUGUUGGUGGGGUAGUGGCUUACCAAGCCUUUGACGGGUAGCCGGCCUGAGAGGGUGAACGGCCACAAGGGGACUGAGGUACGGCCCAGACUCGUACGGGAGGCAGCAGUGGGGAAUAUUGCACAAUGGGCGGAAGCCUGAUGCAGCAACGCCGCGUGCGGGAUGACGGCCUUCGGGUUGUGAACCGCUUUCGCCUGUGACGAAGCGUGAGUGACGGUAAUGGGUAAAGAAGCACCGGCUAACUACGUG